ACAGAGAACAGGUAUUCCCACAGACUACCUCAGGUAGUAGGAGGUACUUCAAUGGUGGACCUAAGAUGAACCUCAAGUGAAGCGUCAGGAAGCUUCCAGGGGAAAGCAGAGCUGGCAAAGCAACUCUGUUUCUUCUGAAAUGAAUAGAGAAGCCAUCAUUGCUUCAGCAAACCCAGGUUGACCUUCAGUAAACUCCACCUCUUUUAUUGUUUCUACUGUAGCUAAGGGUUCCUGCUUCCUCAUUCUUGUUCCUGUUUGUCUUAACGUUUCCGUACUCCUUUAUCCUGCCCCUCUAACAGCCUGGCCUCCUCCAGAGAACAAUUCAGUUUAUAGAUCUGUCACGCACUACCUGAUUUUCAAUCAUUUUCCCACUUUCAAAUUCCCCAAAGAGAGGAUCAGUGUGUAUGCCCUGUCUCCAUUUAGAGAAAGCUCUUCAAAGCAGCUUCCAGAUUGGGGAUUAGUUAAGCCUUAGUGAGCGGUGAGAGGAUGGACCUUAUGGAAUGGUGUCCACCUUUGAUGGUGGGAGAAGCUUUAGUCUGCUGACCCCCAAUGCCUUGCAUUCUAACUCCAUUCAAAAACACCCAGCUACCUUUACCACUGUGCACAAAAGAGCUCAGAUGCCACAUAUGUGCUCCAUGUAAUGCAGUUGGGUUGUGGCGUUUACUCAGCCUAUAUCCUGGGAAUCUGUCAUCCUACUGUAGGCAUGUGGUCUGUGGAGAGACGCUGAGCAAGCAGCACCUUCCUCCUUCUGACUUUCCUUGUUCUAUUGAUGAGGAAGGACAAAGACCACUUUGUGUAGAUAGCUGGAUCCCCACAAUGGCUUCCCACUGAACUUCAGCCACAGGAAGCCCUAAGCCUGCCACUUCUCCCUUUCCAUGCUGUGCCAAAAGAAAAGGAAAAAGAAAUGGAACCCAAUAGGUAGUAGGUUUUACAAUUUUUCAUAAAACAGUUCAUCUUGUUUAAUUUAGCCUAUCACCCAAGUCUGUUGAGAUCUUCUGGAACAUGAAUGAUAUCUUUCUCCAGCUUAUUUGAUAAAUUGUUCAAACCCCAUCAGGGGCCAUCUGCCCAUGGAAGGGAAGUUAAAUGUUUAACUUAUCUUUUCAGGGCUGACGUGAAGGUGGAUUUAGAUGGCUCAUUUCCAUGAGCUCCUUUGUAGCACUUGAGGAACAGUUGCUCCAUAGUUUUGAGACAUUAUUGUAGACUAAGAUACUGAUCUUACACAUGUAUUAAUCCAUUGUGUUCGAGGCAAGGAAAACCAGAUAGUCGUGUCAUGAAGGUAGCUAAACCAUUAGCUGCUGUUUAGUGAACAAUCAUUUUAAGUUACGGAUGCUUUAAUAUAUUAUUUUUAAAGAUUUAUUUACCUAUUUUAUGUAUGUGAGUACACAGUCACUCUUUUUAGACACACCAGAAUUAGAGCAUCAGAUUCCAUUGCAAAUGGUUGUGAGCCACCAUGUGGUUGCUGGGAAUUGAACUCAGGACCUCUGGAAGAGCAGCCAGUGCUCUCAACAGCUGAGCCAUCUCUCCAGCCCCAUAUAUUGUUUAUAAUCCUUAAUAACCUAAGGACAUUUGGUUGAUUGGUUGGUUGGUUGGUUGGUUGGUUGGUUGGUUGGUUGGUUUCUCUUGUUUUCUUUGACUUUUCAAGACAAGGUCUCACUGCGUUUAAGAUGAGCCUUGACUCGACCAAGUUGUCCAGGCUGGUCAUAAACUCACAGUAAUAAUUCUAACUCAACAACCUAGGUACUAGGAUUACAGACAUGGACCACCACACAUAGCUCUUUUGUCUGUUUGUUUGGAGAUAGGAUUUCAAAAUACAUGUUGAAUAUAUGUGUAUAUAUUCACAUAUAUAUGAAAUAAUAAAUAUAUAUUGUUCAGCCACUCAGAUGCUAGGAUUACAGAUGUGCAGUACCUGGUCCAACAAAAGGUAUGUUUUAUUGUCUCUUUUUUAUGGAGAUGAAACACCUGCAUUCAUAAAGGGUUAUUGACUUCUCAAUAUCUAACCACUAGAGUGUGAUUGAACUGACCCCAAACCGUGUGUCCCUUCACUGUACCACAAAGGUUUCCCUAAGAAUGGCUUUACAGAUGAAACUGACUGAAGGUAGAAAUCGGGGACGCUUCAUGCAUACUUACCCAGGGGUCUCAGUUUAAAAAAAAAAAAACACACAUAUGUUGGGUUAAGCAAUAAUGAUAUAGCCAUGCUCGGGAUAUUUACAGUAAGAAGCAGAUAAAUCCACAUGUGUUUUAUC
rnacentral:lncRNA from 1 species